rnacentral:rRNA from 1 species
UUUUAUUGUUGAAGCUUCGGCCGAUUCAAUAAAAGGAAAGCGGCAAACGGCGUAGUAAUGCGUAGGUACGUACCCUCAGGUUGGGAAUAGCCACGGGAAACUGUGGGUAAUGCCCAAUAAUAUCUGCGGAUCAAAGGUGUGAUUCCGCCUGAGGAGCGGCUUACGUGAUAUUAGCUUGUUGGUGGGGUAAUGGCCUACCAAGGCGACGAUGUCUAGGGGGUGUGAGAGCAUGGCCCCCACGACCGGAACUGAGACACUGUCCGGACACCUACGGGUGGCUGCAGUCGAGAAUCUUCCGCAAUGGGCGAAAGCCUGACGGAGCGACGCCGCGUGCGGGAUGAAGGCCCUUGGGUUGUAAACCGCUGUCAGAGGGGAUGAAAUCAUGGUUGGCUAUCCUUCCAUGUUGACAGAGCCUCAAAGGAAGCACGGGCUAAGUACGUGCCAGCAGCCGCGGUAACACGUACUGUGCGAACGUUAUUCGGAAUCACUGGGCUUAAAGGGUACGUAGGCGGUUUAUCAAGUCAGGUGUGAAAUGCCUGAGCUCAACUGAGGCACUGCGCUUGAAACUGAUAAACUAGAGUAUUCCAGGGGUGUGCGGAACUGCCAGUGGAGCGGUGAAAUGCGUUGAUAUUGGCAGGAACACCGGAGGCGAAGGCGGCACACUGGGGGAUAACUGACGCUGAGGUACGAAAGCCAGGGUAGCGAACGGGAUUAGAUACCCCGGUAGUCCUGGCUGUAAACGACGAGCACUGGGCGAGAGGAAGUUCGCUUCUUUUUGCCGUAGCGAAAGCAUUAAGUGCUCCGCCUGGGGGAGUAUGGUCGCAAGGCUGAAACUCAAAGGAAUUGACGGGGGCUCACACAAGCGGUGGGAUGAUGUGGCUUAAUUCGAGGCAACGCGAAGAACCUUAUCCUGGACUUGACAUGGCUUGGAUGGCUCGCCCGAAAAGGGAUGAGUCUGCCUUCCGGGUGAAACUUGCACAGGUGCUGCAUGGCUGUCGUCAGCUCGUGUCGUGAGACGUCCCGUUAAGUCGCUUAACGAGCGCAAC